rnacentral:rRNA from 2 species
AACGCUAGCUACAGGCUUAACACAUGCAAGUCGAGGGGUAACGAGAGGAAAGCUUGCUUUCCUUGUCGACGACCGGCGCACGGGUGAGUAACGCGUAUCCAACCUGCCCCCAACUAGGGAAUAACCUUGCGAAAGUAAGACUAAUACCCUAUAAUUUCCUCAGAUGUCAUCUGACGAGGAAUAAAGAUUUAUCGGUUGUGGAUGGGGAUGCGUCUGAUUAGCUUGUUGGCGGGGUAACGGCCCACCAAGGCAACGAUCAGUAGGGGUUCUGAGAGGAAGGUCCCCCACAUUGGAACUGAGACACGGUCCAAACUCCUACGGGAGGCAGCAGUGAGGAAUAUUGGUCAAUGGGCGAAAGCCUGAACCAGCCAAGUAGCGUGCAGGAUGACGGCCCUAUGGGUUGUAAACUGCUUUUAUACAGGAAUAAAGUUAGCCACGUGUGGUUAUUUGUAGGUACUGUAUGAAUAAGGACCGGCUAAUUCCGUGCCAGCAGCCGCGGUAAUACGGAAGGUCCAGGCGUUAUCCGGAUUUAUUGGGUUUAAAGGGAGCGUAGGCCGUCUGUUAAGCGUGUUGUGAAAUGUAGAUGCUCAACAUCUGAAUUGCAGCGCGAACUGGCAGACUUGAGUGUGCGCAACGUAGGCGGAAUUCGUGGUGUAGCGGUGAAAUGCUUAGAUAUCACGAAGAACUCCGAUUG